GAUGAACGCUGGCGGCGUGCCUAAUACAUGCAAGUCGAGCGAACAGACGAGGAGCUUGCUCCUCUGACGUUAGCGGCGGACGGGUGAGUAACACGUGGAUAACCUACCUAUAAGACUGGGAUAACUUCGGGAAACCGGAGCUAAUACCGGAUAAUAUAUUGAACCGCAUGGUUCAAUAGUUAAAUACGGUUUUUCUGUCACUUAUAGAUGGAUCCGCGCUGCAUUAGCUAGUUGGUAAGGUAACGGGUUAACAAGGCAAGGAUGCGUAGACGACCCGAGCGCGAGGUUGCAUAGCCGGGCAGAGAGACACGGUACAGACACUGACGGGAGGACGCAGUAGGGAAUCUUACGCAAUGGAGGAAAGCCUGACGGAGCAACGUGGCGUGAGGGAUGAAGGUCCUCGGACCGGAAAACGCUGUAAUUAGGGAAGAACAAAUGUGUAAGUAACUAUGCACGUCUUGACGGUACCUAAUGAGAAAGCCACGGCUAACUACGUG
rnacentral:rRNA from 1 species